ACAGAGGAAACAUGGUAACCGUUUUCAAGUACAGAAAAGUUGUUACAAGGAGCGGGGAGAGAAAUUGUUCUCCUUAACCUUGAGUAUAGGACAA